rnacentral:rRNA from 1 species
AACUGCGAAUGGCUCAUUAAAUCAGUUAUAAUUUAUUUGAUAGUACAAUUACUACUUGGAUAACCGUGGUAAUUCUAGAGCUAAUACAUGCUAAAACCUCCGACUUCUGGAAGGAGGUGUAUUUAUUAGAUAAAAAACCAAUAUCGGGCAACCGAUUCCACUGGUGAUUCAUAAUAACUUUUCGAAUCGUACGACUUUAUGUUGACGAUGAAUCAUUCAAAUUUCUGCCCUAUCAACUUUCGAUGGUAGGAUAGAGGCCUACCAUGGUGGUAACGGGUAACGGGGUGUUAGGGCACGACACCGGAGAGGGAGCCUGAGAAACGGCUACCACAUCCAAGGAUGGCAGCAGGCGCGCAAAUUACCCAAUCCCGACACGGGGAGGUAGUGACAAUAAAUAACAAUACGGGGUUCUUUAGGAUCUCGUAAUUGGAAUGAGUACAAUUUAAAUCUCUUAACGAGGAACAAUUGGAGGGCAAGUCUGGUGCCAGCAGCCGCGGUAAUUCCAGCUCCAAUAGCGUAUAUUAAAGUUGUUGCAGUUAAAAAGCUCGUAGUUGAAUUUCGGGGUUAGUAAGUUGGUCAUGCCUUCGGUAUGUACUGGCUUUACUGAUUCCUCCUUCUUGACGAACCGUGAUGUCAUUAAUUUGGUGUUGCGGGAAAUCAGGACUGUUACUUUGAAAAAAUUAGAGUGUUUAAAGCAGGCUAACGCUUGAAUACAUUAGCAUGGAAUAAUGAAAUAGGACGUUAAUCCUAUUUUGUUGGUUUCUAGGAUCGACGUAAUGAUUAAUAGGGAUAGUUGGGGGCAUUAGUAUUCAAUUGUCAGAGGUGAAAUUCUUGGAUUUAUUGAAGACUAACUACUGCGAAAGCAUUUGCCAAGGAUGUUUUCAUUAAUCAAGAACGAAAGUUAGGGGAUCGAAGACGAUCAGAUACCGUCGUAUUCUUAACCAUAAACUAUGCCGACUAGGGAUCGGAUGAUGUUAUUUUUAAUGACUCAUUCGGCGCCUUACGGGAAACCAAAGUGUUUGGGUUCCGGGGGGAGUAUGGUCGCAAGGCUGAAACUUAAAGGAAUUGACGGAAGGGCACCACCAGGGGUGGAGCCUGCGGCUUAAUUUGACUCAACACGGGGAAACUCACCAGGUCCAGACAUAGUAAGGAUUGACAGAUUGAGAGCUCCUUCCUUGAUUCUAUUGGGUGGUGGUGCAUGGCCGUUCCUUAGUUCGGUGGAUGAUUUGUCUGGUUAAUUCCGUUAACAACGAAACUUAACCUGCUAAAUGCUAAGCUAACUUC